rnacentral:rRNA from 1 species
CAGUAGCCGCGGGAAUACGUAGGUGGCAAGCGUUGUCCGGAUUUACUGGGCGUAAAGCGAACGCAGGCGGACUGUUAAGUAGGAAGUGAAAGGUCGGAGCUCAACUCCAACAUUGCUUCCUAUACUGGCAGUCUUGAGUAGCGGAGAGGAAGGGGGAACGACACGUGUAGCGGUGAAAUGCGUUGAUAUGUGUCGGGACACCCAUGGCGUAAGCACCCUUCUGGACGCAAACUGACGCUCAGGUUCGAAAGCCAAGGCAGCGAACAGGAUUAGAUACCCCUGUAGUCCCUGUCUCUUAUAC